rnacentral:sRNA from 1 species
GGAAUCGAAGUGCACGUGCACGUCGAUGGCGCCGGGGGUUGCGAUGAGCCCCUCGCAGUCGCGCACCGUGGUGCCGGCCGAGACGAUCAGGCGCGGGUCGACCCCGUCCAUGAUCGCCGGGUUGCCGGCCUUGCCGAGACCGACGAUACGCCCGUCCUUGAUGCCGAGGUCGCCCUUCACGAUGCCGAGCACGGGAUCGAUGACGAGGACGUUGCAGAGCAGGAAGUCGAGGGCCCCCUGCGCGGCGGUGACGCCCGGCGCCAUGCCGAUGCCGUCG